rnacentral:rRNA from 1 species
UACGUAGGGGGGCAAGCGUUGUCCGGAUUUAUUGGGCGUAAAGAGCGUGUAGGCGGCUUUGCAAGUCCGUUGUGAAAACUCGAGGCUCAACCUCGAGACGCCGGUGGAAACUGCAAAGCUAGAGUCCGGAAGAGGAGAGUGGAAUUCCUGGUGUAGCGGUGAAAUGCGCAGAUAUCAGGAAGAACACCCGUGGCGAAGGCGGCUCUCUGGGACGGUACUGACGUUGAGACGCG